rnacentral:rRNA from 1 species
UACGUAGGGUCCAAGCGUUAAUCGGAAUUACUGGGCGUAAAGCGCGCGUAGGCGGGUUGGUAAGUCCGCUGUGAAAGCCCGGAGCUCAACUCCGGAGGGUCGGUGGAUACUGCCAGUCUUGAAGGUGCUAGGGGGAGAUGGAAUUACCGGUGUAGCGGUGAAAUGCGUAGAUAUCGGUAGGAACACCAGUGGCGAAGGCGGUCUCCUGGGGCAUUCUUGACGCUGAGGCGCGAAAGCUGGGGGAGCGAACGGG